GUAAGGGAUAUUGCGCAAUGGACGAAAGUCAGACGCAGCGACGCCGCGUGGGCGAUGAAGGCCUUCGGGUUGUAAAGCCCUUUUAUGGGGGAAGAGAAAAAGGACGGUACCCCAGGAAUAAGUCCCGGCUAACUACGUGCCAGCAGCCGCGGUAAAACGUAGGGGACAAGCGUUAUCCGGAUUCACUGGGCGUAAAGAGCGUUGAGGCGGUUCCGUAAGUUGGGCGUGAAAGCUCCGGGCUUAACUCGGAGAUGUCGUUCAAUACUGCGGGGCUUGAGGACAGCAGAGGAAGGUGGAAUUCCCGGUGUAGUGGUGAAAUGCGUAGAUAUCGGGAGGAACACCCGUGGCGAAGGCGGCCUUCUGGGCUGUUCCUGACGCUGAAGGCGAAAGCUAGGGGAGCGAACGGGAUUAGAUACCCCGGUAGUCCUAGCUGUAAACGAUGGAUGCUGGGUGUGGGGGGUGUAAAUUCCCUCUGUGCCGAAGCAAACGCGUUAAGCAUCCCGCCUGGGGACUACGGCCGCAAGGCUAAAACUCAAACGAAUUGACGGGGGCCCGCACAAGCAGCGGAGCGUGUGGUUUAAUUCGAUGCUACACGAAGAACCUUACCUGGGUUUGACAUGCACGUGGUAGGGAACCGAAAGGGGACCGACCUUCGGGAGCGUGCACAGGUGCUGCAUGGCUGUCGUCAGCUCGUGCCGUGAGGUGUCGGGUUAAGUCCCGUAACGAGCGCAACCCUUGCCCUUAGUUACAAGUGUCUAAGGGGACUGCCCGGGACAACUGGGAGGAAGGUGGGGAUGACGUCAAGUCAGCAUGGCCUUUAUAUCCAGGGCUACACACACGCUACAAUGGCCGGUACAAUAGGUUGCGAAGUCGUGAGGCGGAGCCAAUCCUCAAAGCCGGUCUCAGUUCGAAUUGCAGUCUGCAACUCGACUGCAUGAAGCUGGAGUUGCUAGUAAUCGCAGGUCAGCUAUACUGCGGUGAAUACGUUCCCGGGCCUUGUACACACCGCCCGUCACGUCAUGGAAGCUGGCAACGCCUGAAGCCGGUGAGCUAACCCGAAAGGGAGGCAGCCGUCGAGGGUGGGGCUG
rnacentral:rRNA from 1 species